GUCUCAAUAUUGAAAUCAUCAAUAUCUGUUUGAAGUUUAAUUUUAAGAAACUAUUUCCUGCCUCCACAGACCUACAUAUUGAUGUUACUGCAUUGUUCUUCCCUCUUUUCCUACAAAAUUCUCGGAAACAUGUUUUUCUUCAGGCAAGGGAGUAGAUGAAAACACCAAAUAGAUUAUUUCAGACGUACUUUCUCUCCCCUUCCCUAUGACCAGGAAAAGACAAAACGCUGCCUCUUCUUUCAUUUUUCUUCUUGGUAUAUUGAUGGAGCUGUCAUUAUGCCCUCAACACCUCAUCUGAAGUAAUAUGGGACAAUAAGAGGGGCAGCCGCUUCCCAAGACUUCACAGUCAUCAUGUAGUUCAUCCAAGAGCUCCAGCCACACCAAUCUGACCCUGCUAUGGCUAAGGACAAGGCUGCCUUCCGGCAACCCCGAGAACAGAGUUGGACAGUCCAUCCCUGGGAGACCCUGUCCCAGAACAUCUAGACUCCCAGGUUGGUCCUCUUUGGAACAUGAGAGGAUGUGGUUACAUUUGCAAUUGAAAGACAUCAUCUAGGGGGUAAAUGUGAAAGGAAAGGUCCAGGAAGGACCAGGGCAGAGGGCUCCCCUAUAAUUCUCUGAUGUUCAUUCCUUUGAACACCCUUAGCCAUGUAGACACAUUUGCAAGGAGAGAGUUUGCAAAGCCAUUAAUAGAAACAAAAGUAGUAA
rnacentral:lncRNA from 1 species